AUACGUAGGGGGCUAGCGUUAUCCGGAAUUACUGGGCGUAAAGGGUGCGUAGGUGGUUUCUUAAGUCAGAAGUGAAAGGCUACGGCUCAACCGUAGUAAGCUUUUGAAACUAAGAGACUUGAGUGCAGGAGAGGAGAGUAGAAUUCCUAGUGUAGCGGUGAAAUGCGUAGAUAUUAGGAGGAAUACCAGUUGCGAAGGCGGCUCUCUGGACUGUAACUGACACGGAGGCACGAAAGCGUGGGGAGCAAACAGGAUUAGAUACCCUGGUAGUCCACGCCGUAAACGAUGAGUACUAGCUGUCGGGGGUUACCCCCCUCGGUGGCGCAGCUAACGCAUUAAGUACUCCGCCUGGGAAGUACGCUCGCAAGAGUGAAACUCAAAUGAAUUGGCGGGG
rnacentral:rRNA from 1 species